rnacentral:rRNA from 1 species
GUGGAGCGAGUGGCGUUAUCUGAACAGCCAUCCCGCGUGAAUGAUGAAGGCCUUAUGGUUGUAAAGUAUUUUCUGGCAGAGAAGAAAAGGUAUCUCCUAGUACCAGAUACUGCUGACGGUAUCUGCAGAAUAAGCACCGGCUAACUACGUGCCAGCAGCCGCGAUAAUA